CGGACGGGUGAGUAAUGUCUGGGAAACUGCCUGAUGGAGGGGGAUAACUACUGGAAACGGUAGCUAAUACCGCAUAACGUCGCAAGACCAAAGAGGGGGACCUUCGGGCCUCUUGCCAUCAGAUGUGCCCAGAUGGGAUUAGCUUGUUGGUGGGGUAACGGCUCACCAAGGCGACGAUCCCUAGCUGGUCUGAGAGGAUGACCAGCCACACUGGAACUGAGACACGGUCCAG
rnacentral:rRNA from 1 species